rnacentral:rRNA from 1 species
UCGGGGUGAGCGGCGGACGGGUUAGUAACGCGUGGGAACGUACCCUUCUCUACGGAAUAGCCAUUGGAAACGAUGAGUAAUACCGUAUACGCCCUUUGGGGGAAAGAUUUAUCGGAGAAGGAUCGGCCCGCGUUAGAUUAGAUAGUUGGUGGGGUAAUGGCCUACCAAGCCCGAGAUCUGUAGCUGGUCUGAGAGGAUGACCAGCCACACUGGAACUGAGACACGGUCCAGACUCC